AUGCUUGCACUUUCCAUAUGGAGCUAGGAGCGAUUGCCGGUUGGACGACCGAAGACCGUGAAGUACGAGGAUUGGGACAACAAAGACGACCCACUAUGGCUCCUCACUUGGGCUUACAAGUGGGAUGUGGUAAAUGAGACGACGGAUGAUCCCUCGGUAAUGCACAAGUUGUACAAGACCGAGCUGGACAUGAUUACGGCUGAGCAGGCGACUCGACAUUGUAUAAGUGACUCUCAUGCUUCUAUCGUAACUCAAAAUCAAUUUUGCAUUCUAUGCUAUGUUGCAGGUGGAAUGGGAGCCGUAUGGAAGAGGGGAUAG
rnacentral:rRNA from 1 species